rnacentral:rRNA from 1 species
UACGUAGGGUGCGAGCGUUAUCCGGAAUUAUUGGGCGUAAAGAGCUCGUAGGCGGUUUGUCGCGUCUGCCGUGAAAGUCCGGGGCUCAACUCCGGAUCUGCGGUGGGUACGGGCAGACUAGAGUGAUGUAGGGGAGACUGGAAUUCCUGGUGUAGCGGUGAAAUGCGCAGAUAUCAGGAGGAACACCGAUGGCGAAGGCAGGUCUCUGGGCAUUAACUGACGCUGAGGAGCGAAAGCAUGGGGAGCGAACAGG